AACAAACGCUGGCGGCGUGCCUAAUACAUGCAAGUCGAACGGGGAAAGUAGCAAUAUGAGUACUAGUGGCGCACGGGUGAGUAACGUGUGGAUAAUCUGCCUUGAAGAGGGGGAUAACUAGUCGAAAGAUUAGCUAAUACCGCAUAAGACCACAGGAGCUGAGGCUCUAGGGGUCAAAGGCUUUUCGCUUCAAGAUGAGUCCGCGUAAGAUUAGCUAGUUGGUGAGGUAACGGCUCACCAAGGCAACGAUAUUUAACUGGUCUGAGAGGAUGAACAGUCACACUGGAACUGAGACACGGUCCAGACUCCUACGGGAGGCAGCAGUAGGGAAUAUUGCACAAUGGAGGAAACUCUGAUGCAGCGACGCCGCGUGAGUGAUGAAGGCCUUCGGGUCGUAAAGCUCUGUCGCAGGGGAAUAACACAAUGAAUGUACCCUGUAAGAAAGGAUCGGCUAACUUCGUGCCAGCAGCCGCAGUAAUAC
rnacentral:rRNA from 1 species